CUCCACAUUUCCAUGGGAGCUGUGUUCAUCAUAGCAGUCUCCCUUCCUAGGUGUGGUACAGCAUUUCUCGUUUUUUGGCAAAAACAGCUUAGACUUGUUUUGUAGCAGUGGCUGUUGACCAAGUUACAUAC